rnacentral:misc_RNA from 1 species
AAGUCGUAACAAGGUAUCUGUAGGUGAACCUGCAGAUGGAUCAUUAAAGUAAUAAUGAAACACCAACCUUGAGCAUUGACGCAGUUCCGAGUCCAGAGAGUAAUGAUUGAGUUUGGGAGUUUGCCUUGUGUAUAUCACUUUACUCAUGAAGUAUUCUUCUGGCUCGGUACAGCUUAUAUAAAACACUACAUUUUAUUGCUUAGCAUUAAAUUUUAAAGCAAACCAAUUGAAAUACAACCUUUAACAACGGAUCUCUUGGUUCCU